GCCCGGUUAGCUCAGCUGGUUAGAGCGUCGUACUAAUAAUCUCGCGAGGGAUUACGUGGUAUAUGCGAAGGUCAACAGUUCAAUCCUGUUACUGGGCA